UACGUAGGGUGCAAGCGUUAAUCGGAAUUACUGGGCGUAAAGCGUGCGCAGGCGGUCAUGCAAGACAGAUGUGAAAUCCCCGGGCUCAACCUGGGAACUGCAUUUGUGACUGCAUGGCUGGAGUGCGGCAGAGGGGGAUGGAAUUCCGCGUGUAGCAGUGAAAUGCGUAGAUAUGCGGAGGAACACCGAUGGCGAAGGCAAUCCCCGUGGGCCUGCACUGACGCUCAU
rnacentral:rRNA from 1 species